rnacentral:lncRNA from 1 species
UAAAAACAUGUUAUUUUGGAAAUAUUUAAUGUAUCUGGGAAAUAUUUAGCAACACAUUUACAAAGCUGGUGGAAAUCUCUUCAGAUAAGACACUUUUGUGAAGUUGUAGCUUGUUCCACUUCAAAGAUUAACACAGAUGCAACACAACAAUAUGAAGAUGCAUGUAUUCAGCUGUUCAUAUUUCAUUAAUGCAUGUGGGAAGAAUAAGUUUCCUACACAGGAAAAAGAAGUUGCUGAACUGGAAUUUAUGUGCUGAUUCCACACAUAAGCCUCAACUCAAAAUUAAAGCUCUAUGGCCAGCCAAGGAUCACCAUCAAUAA